rnacentral:tRNA from 1 species
GGCAGGGCUCAGGGGUAGCGCACUUGCCUGGCAUGCAUGAGGCACUGGGUUCGAGUCUCAGCACCA